GUGGCAAGCGUUAUCCGGAAUUAUUGGGCGUAAGCGCGCGUAGCGGUUUUUUAAGUCUGAUGUGAAAGCCCACGGCUCAACCGUGGAGGGUCAUUGGAAACUGGAAGACUUGAGUGCAGAAGAGGAAAGUGGAAUUCCAUGUGUAGCGGUGAAAUGCGCAGAGAUAUGGAGGAACACCAGUGGCGAAGGCGACUUUCUGGUCUGUAACUGACGCUGAUGUGCGAAAGCGUGGGGAUCAAACAGGAUUAGAUACCCUGGU
rnacentral:rRNA from 1 species